rnacentral:rRNA from 1 species
AACGAACGUUCGCGGCGCGCCUAACACAUGCAAGUCGAGCGAGAAAGGGCUUCGGCCCCGGUACAGCGGCGCACGGGUGAGUAACACGUAGGCAAUCUGCCCCUGAGUGGGGGAUAACCUUCCGAAAGGAGGGCUAGUACCGCAUGAGACCACGACCCCGCGAGGGGAUGAGGUCAAAGCCGGCCACUUCACGAAAGCUGGCGCUUGGGGAUGAGCCGGCGGCCCAUCAGCUAGUUGGUAGGGUAAUGGCCUACCAAGGCGAAGACGGGUAGGUGGUCUGAGAGGAUGAUCAGCCACACUGGAAACGAGACACGGUCCAGACUCCUACGGGAGGCAGCAGUGGGGAAUCUUGCGCAAUGGGCGAAAGCCUGACGCAGCGACGCCGCGUGAGUGAUGAAGGCCUUCGGGUUGUAAAGCUCUGUGGAGGGAGACGAAUAAGGCAUGGCUAACAUCCAUGUUGAUGACGGUAUCCCUUUAGCAAGCACCGGCUAACUCUGUGCCAGCCGCCGCCGUAAUAC